GACGAACGCUGGCGGCGUGCUUAACACAUGCAAGUCGAACGGAAAGGCCUGCUUUCCCUUGUGGAUUGCGGGUACUCGAGUGGCGAACGGGUGAGUAACACGUGAGUGAUCUGCCCCCAACUUGGGUAUAAGCCUGGGAAACUGGGUCUAAUUCCCGAUAGGACUGCAGGGUGGUGCCUGUGGUGGAAAACGAUUUUCUAGUGGUUGGGGAUGAGCUCGCGGCCUAUCAGCUUGUUGGUGGGGUAAUGGCCUACCAAGGCGGCGACGGGUAGCCGGCCUGAGAGGGUGGACGGCCACAUUGGGACUGAGAUACGGCCUAGACUCCUACGGGAGGCAGCAGUGGGGAAUAUUACACAAUGGGCGGAAGCCUGAUGCAGCGACGCCGCGUGGGGGAUGACGGCCUUCGGGUUGUAAACUCCUUUCGACCGCGAGGAAGCCACCUGGUUGGAAGGGUGGUGACGGUAGUGGUAGAAGAAGCACCGGCUAACUACGUG
rnacentral:rRNA from 1 species